CAGUCGCCACGGUAAAACGGAGGGUGCAAGCGUUAAUCGGAAUUACUGGGCGUAAAGCGCACGCAGGCGGUUUGUUAAGUCAGAUGUGAAAUCCCCGAGCUUAACUUGGGAACUGCAUUUGAAACUGGCAAGCUAGAGUCUUGUAGAGGGGGGUAGAAUUCCAGGUGUAGCGGUGAAAUGCGUAGAGAUCUGGAGGAAUACCGGUGGCGAAGGCGGCCCCCUGGACAAAGACUGACGCUCAGGUGCGAAAGCGUGGGGAGCAAACAGGAUUAGAUACCCCUGUAGUCCCUGUCUCUUAUAC
rnacentral:rRNA from 1 species